UACAGAGACUGCAAGCAUUAUUCGGAUCCACUGGGCGUAAAGGGUGCGCAGGCGGCCAAGUGUGUGAGGCGUGAAAGCCCGAUGCUCAACAUCGGAAUUGCACCUCAAACUACAUGGCUAGAGCAUUGGAGAGGGUAGCGGAAUUCACGGUGUAGCAGUGAAAUGCGUAGAUAUCGUGAGGAACACCAGAGGCGAAGGCGGCUACCUGGACAAUUGCUGACGCUCAGGCACGAAAGCGUGGGGAGCAAAAGGG
rnacentral:rRNA from 1 species